rnacentral:rRNA from 1 species
AUGACGAGGCAGACAGCCGCCCUCUUUGUGACCUGCUGCUAUUCCCCAUCUUGCACUGGCGGACUGAUGAUGCGGGAGCUGCCCUCUUCGCUACAACCCCAUAGCUGUUCAAAGUUCAGACUUACGUUUUGUGAAGGCAAGGACAAGGAGAAGCCUAUGGAUAACAGUUCGUGUGGAGCUUGGCCAGUUCCUCUGUUCAUGCUGAACUCCAAUACUUGCAUCCGCCACCCCAACGCCGGCGUGCUCCCUCAGUCCUCUCUCGACAAAUCCAACAGUACAGGUUCUCCGGUGCGCCAAGUAUUGCCUGCGGCGAUGCCUACAUCAUGGCCCAUUGAGGAGAUCUUGUGUAUUCGACAUAGAAGAAAUAUUGUCAGUUCAUGA